UACAGAGGUCUCAAGCGUUGUUCGGAUUUAUUGGGCGUAAAGGGCGCGUAGGCGGCGGGGUAAGUCGGGUGUGAAAUCUCAGGGCUCAACCCUGAAACUGCACUUGAUACUGCUCUGCUUGAGGACUGGAGAGGAGACUGGAAUUCACGGUGUAGCAGUGAAAUGCGUAGAUAUCGUGAGGAAGACCAGUGGCGAAGGCGGGUCUCUGGACAGUUCCUGACGCUGAGGCACGAAGGCCAGGGGAGCAAACGGG
rnacentral:rRNA from 1 species